GUGAUCCCAGGCCAGGCGGGGCCACCCGCUGAAUUUAAGCAUAUCAAUAAGCGGAGGAGAAGAAACUUACAAGGAUUCCCCUAGUAACGGCGAGCGAACCGGGAUCAGCCCAGCUUGAGAAUCGCGCWGCUAUGCCAUUCGAAUUGUAGUCUGUAGAAGCGUCCUCAGCGACGGACCGGGCCCAAGUCCCCUGGAAGGGGGUGCCAGAGAGGGUGAGAGCCCCGUCGUGCUCGGACCCUGUCGCACCACGAGGUGCUGUCGGUGAGUCGGGUUGUUUGGGAAUGCAGCCCAAAUUGGGCGGUAAAUUCCGUCCAAGGCUAAAUAUGGGCGAGAGACCGAUAGUGAACAAGUACSGCGAGGGAAAGAUGAAAAGGACUUUGAAAAGAGAGUCAAAGAGUGCUUGAAAUUGUCGGGAGGGAAGCGAAUGGGGGCCGGCGAUGCGUMUCGGUCGGAUGCGGAACGGUGUAGUGCCGGUCUGCCGCUCGACUCGGGGUGUGGACUGUUGCGGGUUGUGCCGGCGGCCUAAGSCCGGGCGGAUGAUCCCGCCCGUGGGGAGAUGUUGCCGGCGCGACCGGGGGGGAUAGCGUACCUCACGGCGUGUCCUUGCGGCACUCGUGCGCUCUAGGCAACGGCCAGUGUGCCCCCCAUUCGACCCGUCUUGAAACACGGACCAAGGAGUCUGACAUGUGUGCGAGUCAACGGGCGUAUAAAACCCGUAAGGCGCAAGGAAGCUGAUUGGUGGGAUCCCAUUGUCGGGCUGCACCACCGACCGACCUA
rnacentral:rRNA from 1 species